rnacentral:lncRNA from 1 species
GGCCUGGCUACCAGGCUUCGGCCACAGUCUUCCACCAGGAUGUGACUAAAGGCCUGGCCGAGGUCUGCAGGCCACCUGGAGGGCACCUGGAGGGUCAGGAGCGUUGCUGGGGCCUGAGUCUACCCCAAGACCCCUCUGCCUCUCCCCAGGCUGUGAGCUCCCCGAGGAUGACACCCCCUCUGCUUACACCACCUGCAGUUCCUCCAGCCCCGGCACUGGAGGGCCUUAGCCACCGGCACAGCAGCCUCAUCUUCUGGCUGGAUAAACUCACCUCAGAGCCAAGUGGCCCCGGAGAAGCUGCCUCUGUGGCCCGGUCUGCAGGGUGGAGUCACCGUGGGUUCCUCGUAUCAGACAUCCUGCCUGCGGACCAGACACUUGCUCUCCUCCAAGAAGCCUCAAUGUCCAGAGAAGGGAUCCUGCGGUGACCGAGGGACAGGCCUGUCUUCUGGGUCACCACAUCUUGGCAUUUAUUAUUUGCCCCCAGGAAGGUCUGAAGGAUUUUACUUUUAAAAACCAUAGUCGGCUGGGCAUGGUGGCUCACGCCUGUAAUCCCAGCACUUAGGGAGGCCGAGGCGGUGGAUCACCUGAGGUCAGGAGUUCAGGAACAGUCUGACCAACAUGGAGAAACCCUGUCUCUACUAAUACUACAAAAUUAGCCAGGUGUGGUGGUGGGCACCUAUAAUCCCAGCUACUUGGGAGGCUGAGGCAGGAGAAUCGCUUGAACCUGGUAGGUGGAGGUUGCAGUGAGCCGAGAUCACACCAUUGCACUCCAGCCUGGGCAAUAAGAGCGAAACUCUGUCUCAAA